GAUGAAGAACGUAGCGAAAUGCGAUAAGUAAUGUGAAUUGCAGAAUUCAGUGAAUCAUCGAAUCUUUGAACGCACAUUGCGCCCGCCAGUAUUCUGGCGGGCAUGCCUGUUCGAGCGUCAUUUCAACCAUCAAGCCCCAGGCUUGUGUUGGGGACCUGCGGCUGCCGCAGGCCCUGAAAACCAGUGGCGGGCUCGCUGUCACACCGGGCGUAGUAGAUUUUAUCUCGCUCAGGGCGUGCUGCGGGUUCCGGCCGUUAAAAAGCCUUUUUUACCCAAGGUUGACCUCGGAUCAGGUAGGAAUACCCGCUGAACUUAAGCAUAUCAAUAAGGA
rnacentral:misc_RNA from 1 species